GACGAACGCUGGCGGCGUGCUUUACACAUGCAAGUCGAACGGUGAAGGUGGAGCUUGCUCCGCCGGAUCAGUGGCGAACGGGUGAGUCACACGUGGGCAACCUGCCCCUAACUUUGGGAUAACUACUCGAAAGAGUAGCUAAUACCGGAUAUGAAGUCUGUAGGCAUCUAUGGAUUUGGAAAGUUCUUCGGUUAGGGAUGGGCCCGCGGCCUAUCAGCUUGUUGGUGAGGUAGUGGCUCACCAAGGCGACGACGGGUAGCCGGCCGGAGAGGGCGACCGGCCACACGGGGACUGAGACACGGCCCAGACUCCUACGGGGGGCAGCAGUGGGGAAUAUUGCGCAAGGGGCGAAAGCCUGACGCAGCAACGCCGCGUGCGGGAUGAAGGCCUGCGGGUUGUAAACCGCGUUCAGCAGGGAAGAAGCGAAAGUGACGGUACCUGCAGAAGAAGCACCGGCUAACUACGUGCCAGCCGCCGCGGUAA
rnacentral:rRNA from 1 species